AAGAAACCUACAUCAGUGAAUGAAGUGCUAGGCAAUAUAGACAUAACGAGUAUCAUAAAAUAGGUUAAACAAUGGUGACAUAGAUUGUACAUGUAAAAACGUAACGAUGACUCCUUCGCCGUUUCGCGAUACGAUGAUUCGUUCUUGAGAUAUAAGCGAUUAAAGAUUAGACACUCGACUUCCGGAGUGUCUCGGCUGAGAAAAUGGCGGCUGUGUCACGUGACGGUACCAGCAGCCCGGAAGUCGAUCUUUAAUUGAUGGUAUCACAGAGCAGGCUAUGAAAAAAAGGUUCAGGACUUUUCGAUUCGUUUUGAAAGAAUCUAUUAGCUACAGGAGAAACUCCUUGUCUGUCAAUAAUUCUUUAUAUCUUUCUGCGGUACAUAUAAGUUUAAAGAAACGACCGAAGGAGAAUUUGGAUUACAGAGCAUAAUUUCGAUUAAUUAUUUUUUAGUCCUGUAGAGACGAUCGCUAUUAGAAAGAGCCGGUGUUAAACGGUUGAACGCGAACAGCUUCUCGUUAGUUACACGACAUCCAUAUAUAUAUUUUUUCCUCUGUUUUUUCCAUCCGUACCCCUCUGCAUCUUAACCGAGCGACAAUUCGGUUUUUGUUCCACGGGAUUACGAGGCCACAGGGGUGUCGGAAAGAGAGGGCGAAGAGGAAGGGGUAGGAAAAAGGCAAGGAAAUUGUGCACCGUGCAAGCACAAUGCUCGGCCACGGCGACAACGCGCUGUGUUUUUCAAUUAUUUUUAAUUAUUUUCUGAAAGCCGCGGUAGAACCGCGCGUUUGAUGCACACCACGCGGUUUCCCCUCCGUUUCAGCCAUCGCUUUUUUUUUUCUUUCCACCCUAUAUCGAUCUAUCCAUCUCACUUUUGCACCGACGGACUUUUACUCUCCCCGAAGCGAGCCACGUCGACGUCCAAUUUAAAAAUGUCCACCUCUGUGGCUGGGUGUCAUUGCGACGACACCGACAAAGAAUCUGGACUCGGAUUCGAAAAACACCGCGCUUUCAAUUCUGCAUUUGCCAAAGCACGAUGGUCUAGCCUAAGUGAAAACUAUGGCGCGCAAAUUUUCGAUGGGUACUUCACCAACAUUUUGUUAACCUUUUGAUCUACGAUUGCUUUUUUUCAUUUAACUUCGUUUAAUCACAUGAGAUUAACAUUGUAUGACGUAGACUUUUGACGUAAUGUUUAUUAUGACGCAAUAUUUUAUUACAAAAUAUUAAUUUAAUUUAAUUUCAGGGAAAGAAAAUGAAUGGAGAAUUAAUUUGAGUGAUCCUGCGCACUGAUCCUGAACAUGGGGAUAUAAAUGAUUUAAUAUGUGCUCUGUAUUCUUGCCAUUGAAACGACUCAUCGAUGACUGGCGCCUCGAAAAUAAUAUAAUCGAAUAAACAUGACUGCCACAGCGAAAAUGGACAUAUGUAAUAAGACACAGCAAGCUUCUAUAUUGCAAGCCUCCAGAAUUGGUGAUGUAACAAAAGUCUGCUACAUUGAAAUAUGUCGUGAUCUCCAAGGCAACGAGUAAACAAAUCCAGAACCAAUUAUAAAAUUGCCUGUGCACAUUUUAAGAAACAAUUAGAUUUAAUCUUACUUCAUAUGUCCUCACUGCAGACAAUGAUGUCUCACGUUUCAAAUAAUCAAAAUAAACGAAAUCACUGAAAUCGUUUCAGUCGCGAAAAGAGAGCAAGAGUGUCACUGCACUUACUAAAAGCAUCGAAUGAAAACUGGAAUCGAUUCUAUGAAACAUUUAUCUUCUAGCUAUUUCUAUCUUUAACAAAAUAAAAGGCACAGCCUCAAGCAAUAUUUUCCGUGUCAUCCAAAAUUAAACCGAGACUGAUACCACGUGUUUAAACAAUCACGGAUCAACCGGUUGGAAGAUGAAAGAAAAAGAAUUUUGAAGAUCUCAAGACACUCCACGUUGAAAAAAAAAUGUAGAAGAGUGAUAAAUCUUACGAUCCUCGAAGAAGGUGUUCCUUCGCGAGCGGAAUAUUUCGAGUCGGACGGCGGACGAAAUUCAAUGGUAGCCGGUGUAACGGAACGAGAAAAAGAAACGGACGUGUGCGAACCGAUGAACAGAGAGCUCGAAGAAGUAGAUACCGCGUUGCCCGAGCCUGACAGACUGGCAAACUAGUAGUCACCAUGAACCGAACGAAGAACAGGCCACCCCACCUCCUCCGCUGUCAACAAGGGAAGCGUGGGAGGCACUAAGCUACUUUAAAUUUUUUUUCUUCCUUCCUUGCGUUAACUUAUCGAUGAAAUGUGUUUCUCUUUAUGUCUAUUUGAAUAUUUCGAUUAUUUCGAUCGCUUCGAUAAGCUAAUUUGUAAAUUUCCUUCUUGGAGAUUUAACUGCGAGAUAAAUUUGUGGCGCCAAGGAUGUUUGGAUCUCUUGCAUUUGAAUUAGGAUACGUCAGGACAACUAGGGAUCUCUAAAAAUGUUUGGAAACUUUAUAUUAUCUUCUGCUCAAAGAUUUUAAUUUUGCAAUGAGAUAAUUCAUGAGGCAAUUAGGGAUUAGUUUUUAGGGAUUAGCUAGGAUAAGCUUUUUAGGUUAGGUUUGGUAUUGAAGGACCUCUCUAUUGUUACAUAGAAAACAUAUUACAUACAUUACAUCCAUGUAAAAAUUAACUUCAUUCAAAAUGAAGUAAUUUAACAUAACUGAUAUACUAAAUUUGAUUUAGAGUAGCUAUAAGAAGUUCUAGGAAAGAACACCUUCGGCCUGUUUCUUAGAGACUUCAACGUCGCCAUGAAACGUAUCUCUUCCAAUACUUGGAACAUCUGAACAUUUAAUUAAGUUGCGACUAGGUUUGGCUAAGCUCAGUGUUAAAAGAGGAUAAUAAGAUCGUGACUCAAGUUACAUUACUUCAUCGCCUAUUAUAACAUGUUCGAGUUUUUUUUCUAUCAAGAUUCGUCUUAAUUACUUAACCUGAUGUUCCAGGAGCAAUUCCACUUUUUAAUUGAAACCACCUUGCACUUCUUUCAUUCGAGCACAUUCAGCAACUUCUCUUCUAAAAAUCUUACCACCAGUUUCCUCGAAUAUCCCCCUGUUUUCUUCCUGCACGAAACAUCUAGAAAUAGAUGCCUUUGUUCGCUAUUAUUUGAGCCUUCAAUGUCUUCAUCGGACUGUCAAAUUAUGCUUAGAAAUGUAGAAGCUAUAUCGAGAUCCUUUCACAAUUUCUAUACAAGCUUAUUCAACGUGCGAUCUAAUUCGAGUCUCUGUCUAAAACUUUUCCUUAACGAAGACCCUUGUAUUGUCACUUUUGUACGAGUUUAUUCUAAUAAUAGCAUGUUACACGUUUCAUAAUCACGUGUUAAAUUACUUUAUAGCUAAGUGCAACUCAAUGUAUCGUAAAACAACGUACAACUCAAUGUUCUCAGCGUAUUGUUAAUUCAACAAGCAGUGACUCAACGCGUCGUUAAUUCAGUAACUGAUUUAACGCGCUGUGACUGCGCUAGUGACUGACCGUGUCGUUAACUCAACCAGAUGUAAUUUGACACGAUGCGGUUGAUUAUUUUAGUGUAACUUGAUACUCUGUUAACUUGACGCUGUGACUAACCGUGUCGUUAACUCAACCAGAUGUAAUUUGAUGCGAUGCGGUUGAUUAUUUUAGUGUAACUUGAUACUCUGUUAACUUGACGCUGUGACUAACCGUGUCGUUAACUCAACCAGAUGUAAUUUGAUGCGAUGCGGUUGAUUAUUUUAGUGUAACUUGAUACUCUGUUAACUUGACGCUGUGACUAACCGUGUCGUUAACUCAACCAGAUGUAAUUUGAUGCGAUGCGGUUGAUUAUUUUAGUGUAACUUGAUACUCUGUUAACUUGACGCUGUGACUAACCGUGUCGUUAACUCAACCAGAUGUAAUUUGAUGCGAUGCGGUUGAUUAUUUUAGUGUAACUUGAUACUCUGUUAACUUGACGCUGUGACUAACCGUGUCGUUAACUCAACCAGAUGUAAUUUGAUGCGAUGCGGUUGAUUAUUUUAGUGUAACUUGAUACUCUGUUAACUUGACGCUGUGACUAACCGUGUCGUUAACUCAACCAGUUGUAAUUUGACACGAUGCGGUUGAUUAUUUUAGUGUAACUCGAUACGCUGUUAACUGAACGCCGUGACUAUCCGUGUCGUUAACUCAACCAGAUGUAAUUUGACACAAUGCGGUUGAUUAUUUUAGUAAUGCGAUGUAACUGACUAUGUAACUUAAUAUGCUGUUAACUCAACGACUGAUUACGUUGAUAGCUCAAUGUGCUGUAACUCAUGUUAGUAGUGUGUCGUUAACUGAACUGUUAACUUAAUACUGUGACUGCGUUGACAACUGUGUAUGAUGUACAACUCUAUGUACAGUCUGACUUUGUUAACUUAAUACUGUGACUGCGUUGACAACUCUGUGUGUGAUGUACAGCUCUAUGUACAAUCUGACUUUGUUAACUUAGUACUGUGACUGCGUUGACAACUCUGUGUGUGAUGUACAAGUCUAUGUACAAUCUGACUUUGUUAACUUAGUACUGUGACUGUGUUGACAACUCUGUGUGUGAUGUACAACUCUAUGUACAAUCUGACUUUGUUAACUUAAUACUGUGACUGCGUUGACAACUCUGUGUAUGAUGUACAAUCUGACUAUGUAUCAUCAACAUAUUUUUUAGUAUAAUAUCAGAGCAGAAAAGUAACGUCGCUAAAUUCCAGAACCCGUUAGCGGCAAUAUAACGACAGUCUGCACUCAAGUUACAAUAAAUAGCCGUUCCGUUACAGUAUUAGAGAACCGUAAAGAACGAAGAUAAUCUUAUUACACAAAGUUGCAGGAAUGGACCUCGUGAAUGAUCGACGAGCGAUCCAGAGGCUUAACUUCCGACUGAUGCACCGGUGGAGAAAGCGGCGAGAAUUUGUGAACGGCCGACAGUUUCGAAAGAUUUACAGAUCGGUCGUGAGCAGCCAAUGCUUCGGGGAGAUUGGGCGAAGAGGAGCCUCGUUCUGUGAUCUACAAUCUGUAAGUGUAAGAAUAUAGGAUCCACAGAUGCAAGGAUGUACAAAUCUAAGGAGCUGCAUAUGCAAGGAAAUCUAAGAAUCAGAUGUAGACAUCCACGGUCCACAAAUUUAUCUACACUUCAACUUACAAAAUAAACCCAAUAAUCUCGGUAAGUACCUAUUUGAAAAAGUACCGACUAAUUCAUCUAAAUCUCCCACAGAUUUCACGAAAACGUUACUCAAAGAAAGGAAGAAUCACGAUCGCCGCUCGAGGACCGAUUACCGUUAACGUUAUCCGUCGAAAGAAUACGCGAAACGAAACGACCCGUGCUGUUUCGAGCGAGUAACUGGCGAGAAGAAGCGUGGGAGGUUGUUGUAAGCGCCGCGGCUCCGCGGCGUAAUGCGGGAAACGUCGGGACGCCGAGCGUCGCGUCGUUCGCAAACACCCGCCAAUGAGUGGUGGCGUGAUCGUGCGCACCAGACUCCGCUCGAACGGAACGGAAUGGCAAACCGGCAGGAAAAUUGAAAAUCCUUCGAUUAUUACCACCGACGGCAACAGCUUUAUCCGGCUUUUAAAUCCUCCAGCCAGAGGGUAAUUUUGUUUGCGGAAGGAUUCCUUUUUUGUUCUACGGGUCAAUAGGCUGGUCAAGGGGAUGAACGGAUCAUGCUUUUUCUACUGAGAUAUAAUUUUAUUGUGGAUGACUUGUUCAUUAAAGGGAAAUUAUAAGCAGGAGGUCUUUAAGAGCAUCACGAUCACCCCAUACCGUGGGAUGUUAAUCUCCGCAAGAUAAUCCAAGAAAUGUCCAGUUACAGCAUGUCCAGAACAAAAGGUAGACGAAGUUGAAGAAGUCCAUUAGUAUGAAAAUGCGAUAGGAAGACGAGAAUUUGAAUAAACAUACGGCGGAAGCUCCCGUUCCUACCAACGUGCGCUCGCGUUUUUCCUCGCCCCGUCAUGUCCGCGGUUCAGACAAGGUGAUCAUCGUUACGAGUGCCAGAUAAAAAUAGGAGUUGCAGAUAAACUUUCGACGACGAGCUCAAGUAUAACUGUACAGCUGACUCUCGUUAUAUUGCCACAUUUGGACAUCAUAUUAUUAUCGCAAGACACGAAGAUCUACAAAAUCUAACUCUACACGCUGCAUAUCGUCACGCGCUCCAACUCCAUGCUAGGUAUCGUCACGCGAAGUAAAGUCCGGAUCCCAAAACUUCAAAGCAGUAAACAAAAUUUGCAAACUUUGGUGCGAAGGAAGAGAAUCGCAUUAAUUGUAGUAACACGCCAAAAAAGAGAACCGAAAGCACGUGAUUUAUUGUUAGUUCUCCAGUGUUCCCGCAAUUAUGAUCCAUCCGCGGCACGAGCGCCACCGUCAGAUUUACGGUACAGCCAAACCUCCGCCUCCCUCCUAUUGCCGGCACAGUUUCAUCAGCCACGCUUUUUAGAAUUCAUUUUCGGCUUUAAGCUUCAUUUCUCUACGGGCAACGGAAUUAAGCUCGCGAGGGGGAGAGGGAGGGGUUGUUCGUAGGGGGGACAAACGGCAGAUUGGUAGGCGUUACCAGAGCAGCUGGUACACUUAAGGGGUCCACCGGUAACGAACAACAAUCCUUCCACCUCCAAUCUCUGAUACCCUUCUCGUACUCGUGCAUACGCGUGAUGCACAAUAACAACAAUACUGAGGUUAUACCGCGGCAACAAUUCUCUGGCUUUUUUUGUAAUUUACGAGGUUACGAACGCGACCGACAGAAUUACGAUCCACCCUCCUGUGGAUGCGUCGCGUUUGCGCGAUCCUGGAUACACUUCGUUUAAUCUGACGGUGGAAGGAACAUUUUAUCCCCGUUUGUUUCCGCCGAUCAUUGGGGGGAUAGGUUAGGUGCGUUUUGCGUUAUGGCUGUUUUUGGAAGUGGGUUAGCUGUAGAUGAUUAACGAUACCACCGAUUUUUAUUAGCUUAGAGAUUGAAAUUUUGUAUUGGUUCUGUAAAAUAGAUUAGGUCUUGAAAUACUCUUUGUUGCAAAUAUAGAAUAGGAGUACGUUUAGGUGAGGUUAAUCAUAGCUGACUUAAAUUUAAGUUACUCAACAUAGCUUCAAAUUCAAGUGCUUGAAAAAUAAUAACUAGCUUAUAGCUCUGAGGUUUAUGCUGAAACCACGUUCAAUCUGAGCCGAGUAUAUCUUACAGAAACAAGAUUAAAUUGUAUAAAGCAAUUGAACAAGAUUUAAAACGAGAAAGAAGAGUCACAAGCCCGAAUAUCCGGAAGCCCGGUAACUUGUUAAUUUAUCGAUCAAAACUCACGCGACAUGCCUGAAAUUCGCGACAUGAUUUAUAAGUGGAACGAACGACUCUGCCAGGGUGAAUUUUUAGACAAAUCACCCUGUUCAACGACUCGCGACCAUUUGCAUACGCUUAUUUUGUCAAUACAGCUUGCGUUCGGACAAAAAAUUCGACGGUCUUGUACAAACACCAUGGGAAACGUAAACUCAAAUUUCUGGUCUUGUCAUCGUGAUAUGAUAAAAAGCCUUUUACAAUUUUCCUCGUGUCCUUAAUUAUUGCAAAAAGAAUGCAAAUUACGUACACAACGCGCCUCUGCGGUUAUACUCCUGCGCGAUUAUACACAUAUUUCAAAGAUUCCAUAGAUAGAAACGCUGCGCAUAUAAACAUAGAGAAACUUAAAACUGCAAGAAACUGUAGAGACACGUGUCUCAUAGACCUAAAUUUGCCGAGUACUCUCUCUGUUCUGUAUUAGAAAAUAUUUUCUUCUCCAGUUGCAUUUUAUCGUUCAAGGAACUCAAUUGUUACCGAUCAAAAUCAUGCUCCCAAAGGUCUCUAUAGUUCACCUACAGUAUCACACCUCCCAGAGAGAGUACUCAGCAGCUACUAAAUUCAACCAAUUAAUCAAGAAGAUGAUACAGCAUUUAUGUCGUUCAUUGUUUCAACGUUGAUGACUUUUUUAGCAUACGAAUGUAUAUAGGCCGAGAGGACGCGGUUGACUAAUGCCCUGGGACAGUGGGAGUUGACGUUUGUCGUGGCGGUGCCUAGCGUGCUGCCGUUCCACCUACUACCCCUAACUACCCCUCCCCCAGAUACCCGUGUCUUCCCUUUCGAAGCCCUGUUCCGGCGUUCACGCUGGCUCGGCCCAUCAGGACUCAUAAUUGUCCUCGUCCGAACUGGCGUAUCGCGACCCAACUACACGAAAGUGGUUAUGCGCAUUCCUAUUCACCGGAAGCAUACGGGACGCUAAUCGCAGAUGCGGUAGCGAUGGGAUCAAAUGUGGAACCGAUACGCAAAUCGCUAAUGAGCUAG